rnacentral:rRNA from 1 species
GACGAACACUGGCGGCGUGCUUAACACAUGCAAGUCGAACGGAAAGGCCUGCUUUCCCUUGUGGAUUGCGGGUACUCGAGUGGCGAACGGGUGAGUAACACGUGAGUGAUCUGCCCCCAACUUGGGUAUAAGCCUGGGAAACUGGGUCUAAUUCCCGAUAGGACUGCAGGGUGGUGCCUGUGGUGGAAAACGAUUUUCUAGUGGUUGGGGAUGAGCUCGCGGCCUAUCAGCUUGUUGGUGGGGUAAUGGCCUACCAAGGCGGCGACGGGUAGCCGGCCUGAGAGGGUGGACGGCCACAUUGGGACUGGGAUACGGCCCAGACUCCUACGGGAGGCAGCAGUGGGGAAUAUUGCACAAUGGGCGGAAGCCUGAUGCAGCGACGCCGCGUGGGGGAUGACGGCCUUCGGGUUGUAAACUCCUUUCGACCGCGAGGAAGCCACCUGGUUGGAAGGGUGGUGACGGUAGUGGUAGAAGAAGCACCGGCUAACUACGUG